CAGUCGAACGCUGAACCGGAGCUUGCUUUGGUGGAUGAGUGGCGAACGGGUGAGUAACACGUGGGUGAUCUGCCCUACACUUUGGGAUAAGCCUGGGAAACUGGGUCUAAUACCGAAUAUUCACACCACCGUAGGGGUGGUGUGGAAAGCUUUAUGCGGUGUGGGAUGAGCCUGCGGCCUAUCAGCUUGUUGGUGGGGUAAUGGCCUACCAAGGCGUCGACGGGUAGCCGGCCUGAGAGGGUGUACGGCCACAUUGGGACUGAGACACGGCCCAGACUCCUACGGGAGGCAGCAGUGGGGAAUAUUGCACAAUGGGCGCAAGCCUGAUGCAGCGACGCCGCGUGGGGGAUGAAGGCCUUCGGGUUGUAAACUCCUUUCGCUAGGGACGAAGCCUUAUGGUGACGGUACCUGGAGAAGAAGCACCGGCUAACUACGUGCCAGCAGCCGCGGUAAUACGUAGGGUGCGAGCGUUGUCCGGAAUUACUGGGCGUAAAGAGCUCGUAGGUGGUUUGUCGCGUCGUCUGUGAAAUCCCGGGGCUUAACUUCGGGCGUGCAGGCGAUACGGGCAUAACUUGAGUGCUGUAGGGGAGACUGGAAUUCCUGGUGUAGCGGUGAAAUGCGCAGAUAUCAGGAGGAACACCAAUGGCGAAGGCAGGUCUCUGGGCAGUAACUGACGCUGAGGAGCGAAAGCAUGGGUAGCGAACAGGAUUAGAUACCCUGGUAGUCCAUGCCGUAAACGGUGGGCGCUAGGUGUAGGGGUCUUCCACGACUUUCUGUGCCGCAGCUAACGCAUUAAGCGCCCCGCCUGGGGGAGUACGGCCGCAAGGCUAAAACUCAAAGGAAUUGACGGGG
rnacentral:rRNA from 1 species